rnacentral:rRNA from 1 species
AUUGAACGCUGGCGGCGUGCCUAACACAUGCAAGUCGAGCGGUAACAGGUGUAGCAAUACAUGCUGACGAGCGGCGAACGGGUGAGUAAUGCUUCGGAAUCUGCCCAUGUAGUGGGGAAUAACCAGCCGAAAGGUUGGCUAAUACCGCAUACGACCCUUGCCCACAAGGCAAAGGUGAAAGCAGGGGAUCGCAAGACCUUGCGCUAUUGGAUGAGCCGAAGUCGGAUUAGCUAGUUGGUAGGGUAACGGCCUACCAAGGCGACGAUCCGUAGCUGGUCUGAGAGGACGACCAGCCACACUGGGACUGAGACA